rnacentral:rRNA from 1 species
UAGAGUUUGAUCCUGGCUCAGAUUGAACGCUGGCGGCAUGCUUUACACAUGCAAGUCGAACGAGCAAAGGGGCUUCGGCCCUGAGUAAAGUGGCGCACGGGUGAGUAACACGUAGGUAACCUGCCUCUAGGAUUGGGAUAACCUGUCGAAAGAUGAGCUAAUACCAAAUAAGACCACAGUUUCCUUGGAAGCAGCGGUCAAAGGUAGCCUCUACAUGUAAGCUAUCGCUUAGAGCUGGGCCUGCGUACCAUUAGCUAGUUGGUGAGGUAACGGCUCACCAAGGCUAAGAUGGUUAGCUGGUCUGAGAGGAUGAUCAGCCACACUGGAACUGAGACACGGUCCAGACUCCUACGGGAGGCAGCAGUGGGAAUAUUGCGCAAUGGGCGAAAGCCUGACGCAGCAACGCCGCGUGAGUGAUGAAGGCCUUCGGGUCGUAAAGCUCUGUCGGAGGGAACGAAUGCUCUUGAGGUUAACAGCCUCGGGAAGUGACGGUACCCUCAAAGGAAGCACCGGCUAACUCUGUGCCAGCAGCCGCGGUAA